ACCAUCAGCCCUUGCGUCCUAGGAUUCAAAGCAACUGAGAAGUUGACCUGAGCUGGGACCUCACCUGCCUGGGAACUACAAGCCACGACUGGCAUCAGGACCGCGUAUUACACCCUCCCCCCCCAAGAGUAAGGGCUGACCACUAGCCAGACCUCAAGAGCACCUGGCAUCUUCUGGAGAGAAAUUAGGAUGACAGCUACCAGAAACACUCCCCAAGGCAGCUGGAAAGACCUAAGAGUGCCUCUGUCACUUUGUGGCACCUGGCCGUAUUCCAACCAGUACCCCUUUCUUUGUUUGGUUUACAAACACGGCUAUUUGUGACCACUCUCCUCCCCUCCACUGCCUGCCCUGUUUCUACUUCCUCAUCUUACAUUUAUUCCACAAUGUUCUAAAAGAAGGUCACCAGGAAAACCUCAAAUGCCAAAUCCAGUGUGCUGGCUUUCAGACCUAUGGUUGCCACCUUUCCAACAAACCCCACCCCCACCCCCAUCCCUGAACCCAUCACCUCAGACCAUGGUUUCUGGCUUCUUAUUCUUCAUCCUCCCUUUAACGUUGGAAUCAUUGCAUUCUUGCAUGAGGCUGCAUCUCUUCUCCCAGAGCAGUUUUGUUCAUCUGUCCAUCCCACUUGAAAUGGCAGCCUGGACUUCUCUAUUGAGCUGAAACUGUGGGUCUGAUGCCACUGCAGGUCGGCACCUCAGUCACCGGUGUCAAGGUGCCUUCCUCUCAACAAGCACCAGCCAUUAACAUCUGUGCCGAGGACAAAGCUUGCAACACAGGAAGCCUAGACAGCCAGCUCACAUCCCAACUCUAGCAUGUGUUCUUUAAAGCUAAUGUUCUGCUCAUGGCAAACCAGCCCAGCACACGGAACAUCGGGAAGGGAGUCGUCACUGAGGUUUUUCAUCCCUCCGAGCCCUUCCUUCCACACUCUGAUUUCUGAUUGCGUGCCUUCACUUACUUCCCUCAUCAGCUGUUCACUCUUUACAAACACUUCAACCGCCAUUUAUUCUCCAGUAAAGACUGAGCUGGGAAACAGAUGUUUGAGAAAACCUGACACAAUGAGAACCAACAGCAUCCACUAAAUGACACCCCCUCCCCGCCACCCCCUGCAAAGAAAUGGAGGGGAAAAUAAACAUUCUGCAUUUGUGUUUUCA